CAAUAGCGUAUAUUAAAGUUGUUGCGGUUAAAAAGCUCGUAGUUGGAUUUCUGCUGAGAACGACCGGUCCGCCCUCUGGGUGUGUAUCUGGCUCUUUCUUGGCAUCUUCUUGGUGAACGUUGCUGCACUUGACUGUGUGGAGCGCUACCCAGGACUUUUACUUUGAGGAAAUUAGAGUGUUUCAAGCAGGCAUACGCCUUGAAUACAUUAGCAUGGAAUAAUAAGAUAGGACCUCGGUUCUAUUUUGUUGGUUUCUAGAGCUGAGGUAAUGAUUAAUAGGGAUAGUUGGGGGCAUUCGUAUUUAACUGACAGAGGUGAAAUUCUUGGAUUUGUUAAAGACGGACUACUGCGAAAGCAUUUGCCAAGGAUGUUUUCAUUGA
rnacentral:rRNA from 1 species